UGGGAAAGAAGCAACUUCAGGAUGAGGUC
rnacentral:piRNA from 2 species